CUGAAGGAACUCAAAUGUGAAAUUACAGAACCACUAACUGUGGUACGUAACCUAUCAUUUAAAUCAGCUCCUGUACCAGAUGACUGGAGGAGACCUAGUGUGA